AGGACGAGCUCCCAUCGAGGCACACUCACACGCACACAAAGAGCCCGGCGCGGCGGGGCUGCGUUGCGAUCAGUCAAAAGAAAACAAGCAUCGCGCCGCUCCAAUCAAACGCACACGCACGGCUUUCCUGGCCUCGCGCGGUGCUUAGGAACAGCCCCGGAGCAACUCGACGGGUGCUACGAGCACUCUUUGGCUCCUCAACGCGCCUCUCUUUUUUUUUUUCCCCUUUCCCUGUUAUUUCUUUCCAAAGCAGCACAGAAAACCCACUCCGCUGUGAGCGGCCGCCUUCCCCUCCGCCCCAGCGCCGUGUUGGCUCAGGAUGAGCCGAUCCUUUUACUUCCACUCCCGCAGAAGAGGGUGCUAAAGUUCAAGCCCAGCGGCGCCGCGCUCCCGUCCUCACCCUUUGGGGAACAGCCGCUGUGUCCUUUUCUCACCGUCCUCUCCCGAAGAAUUUCUCGACCAGCCCACACCACCAUGGCUUUUUUUUCCCCCUCCUUUUCUCUUCUCUUCUCUUCUCUUUUCUUUUCUUUUCUUUUCUUUUCUUUUCUUUUCUUUUCUUUUCUUUUCUUUUCUUUUCUUUUCUUUUCUUUUCUUUCCUUCUCUCUUUUCCCAAAGUCUUUCCCGGUCUGGAAACUCAGCGCUGUGGGGAGGGCAGAAGGGCUGCGCAGAGACGCAUAGGGGGUGAGGGGAGGGGGACGCAGCCUCCGAGGGACGCUGUGAGUCCACACAUCUGCCCGGACCGCGGGCGCAGCGUCCAGGUUUAUGGGGAGCCGCAAGCUCGGCCCCUCCCCGUUCGCUCAGCGACUCCGGGAAAAAGCUGGGAAAACCCAAAGCGUGCGGGGUCCUAAGCGGGGCUGCCCGCCUCUCCACGGCACGGCCCCUGCGGUGCGAUGCUCAGCCCCGACCCGCAGCCCCCAGCACCCAUCCGGCCCCAUGCGGGUAGCGAGAGGGCGAAGGAGAGCUGCAGAAACUUGUUGGGACGUCUCCAGUGUUAAGCAGGCCACUGCAGGGCGUGCUGAUAAUUGUGGUCUGCAUCCAUGAGGGAUCAGGACAGCACUGUGCAUGGCACGCACCUCUCUCCUCAACCUUCCUUACGGCAGGACUUGGCACAGGACAGGGGGCUUGGAAGCACACACUGCUCACAGCACACAGCAGAUCCAGGAACAUCCCAGCAGAAGAAUACCAGAAGAGCCAUGGAACAGCUGCCCUAGAGAUGCUGUGUGAAGCACCCUGAUGAUCUUGCCUAUAAUGAGGGUCAGAUUCAUGGUUGGGGCCAGCAAUCUGAUGCUAAGACCCACCAGAGUCACCUGCUGGCCGUGACAAUGCUCCUGUUCCCAGACAGACAACCCACCCCUUGGAUCUGGCAGAUGCAGGAUGAGCAGUUGGAGGCAGAAACUUCUUCGGUCAAACAACUGGGACUACUCAGUAUCCUGACCCCAUAGAUUCUGUAUCCCUACAGAUCCAGACCCCAUAGAUGCUGUAUACUACGCCAGCAUCCCUAAGGAUCACAAUGGCUCUUUGCUUUGUUUCAUGCUGCCUUCAUUCCCCAAAGCAGCAAUAGGCAGAAUCAGCCCCAUGCCUGAAAAUUGCACCCAGCUUAGCAGCACCAGAUAAAAAUGCCCAUGCAUGGCAGAGGAUAUGUUCCUCAGGGCUACAUCACAAUAAUGCUUCAGACUUGUAAGUGGACAAAUACAUAAAAAACGAUACUUGUAGCUUCAUGAACAGAGAGCAGAGAAGUGUCCCUGCAAGCCCAAGGGUCCAGCAGACGUGCUUAGAGACUGUUAGCUUCCAUAGGGCACAGAGAAGGAAUGACGGCGCUGUGCAGCUGCUAGCAGCUCCCCAAGCCCGGGUUUGGCCAGGGCACAAACAGUCAUUCAGAAUGGAAUAGGUGUGGAUAAGUUUUACCCCAAGCAAUAAGCAAAUAGCAUGUGAAAGUGGCAGCAAGCAAAGCUCUCAGUGAGGCUGAGGGCACGGGAGCGGGCUGUGUGGUUAUUAGCAGACUGAGCUGGCUACUAAAUCACAGCCAUGUUAUCCCCUGUCUGGAUUUGACACUUCUUCCUCCGAUCUAUUCGUGACUCAGUGUCUUGGCAUGGAAAACGCAUACCCAAGAGGUUAGCUUCUGAAAUCCACCAGGGACAUUUCACCUUCCUAAAAUAAAGAGUGGGCAAAAUACUUCCAACGUCCCUCCAAAUAAAAAAAAAGGCAGAAAAAAGAAAUCACUCCUUAAUAAACGUACGGUGUUGGGUCUCAGCUGGCUUCGGGCUGAGGUCAAUUUUCCUAUUUAUAAUCAUGCAGCUGUUUGCUGACUGAAUAACUGUAUUUAUUAUUUGGCAUGUUUACCAAACGCCUCAAAUACCUUCUCUACCUGUAAUUGUGGUACAGAGUAUAUAUAUAUUUUUUUCAGAUUAGUUCAUUCAAGUGGCUUGUGUUAUUACCAGGCCCUGCACCGUGGUUUCCUAAGGGUAUUCAUGGCUUGAAGGUAUAAAACUUUGGACUUGGGUGACCCUGCACUGUAGCAGACACUUGAGGAACAAAUGGAGUGUGUUUUUAAAGUCGUUUGUCCGCGGGCACUCCAGGCUUUAACAUUAAGAAACGUGUAGAUGUGGUACUUAGGGACACAGUUUAGCAGGCAGUAGGUGGACAGUUGGACUGGAUGGCCUCAGAGGUCUUUUCCAAACUUAAUGAUUCUACGAUCCUAUACUCUACUUGCCUUUCUUCUAGAAGCACCUUCUGAACAUGUUUUCUCUCCAUCUACGUUCAACUCUAUCUUCUUCCUUUCCACAUUCUACUGGAAUUGACCAAAACCAAAUCCAACCCCUUUUUCAUGUGGCAUUAGUUGGGAGAGCUUUGUUGCCUUGGAGAGCUCCUCUUCUUUCUGCCCAAAGCAUGGGCACUCCUUCCUUCAUCAGUACAAUCUUGUGUACCAUGGAGUAUGCAGAGGUAGAGGUGGAAGGGGUUGGGUUGGUUUUCCCAUCUCCAGAGGCCCCUGAAGUCAUCUUCUCCAGGCAUUUGCUCCAGGCUGCAUUAGCUCUAUAUGCUCUGUCCUCGUCAGUCCACCAUGGGACUCAUGCUUCAGGGCUUUCUGCCCCACCACGCUUUCCUUACCUAUUUCUUCCCCUCCUUAGCUGGAGAAUUGGGUCUCCAAAGCAGAUGCUGGCUGAUAAGCCUCAUGCCUUUGUGCGAGGUCAUCCCGGAGCAAGGGGACGCUGUCCUGGUCAGCCACAGCAUUACCCUUGCAGGGAUGCCUCAGCCACAUUUAGAGUGAGCUUCAAUGACCGCCUGUGCUGGGGAGGUCACCCCUUGAAAUGCCUAGCCAUGUCUGUGCUUCAUUUACAGGAGCUGUAAACCUGCCACCUGGCUGGUGGCUUUAUUGCUUUGGAUGUUGCUGGUGUCAAAGAAAUUUGGUGCAGGAGCCAGCUGGAGCACAGUCAGUUUUAUAUUUAAUCUUCGCUAUAAACGCAAAUAAAGGUUCUGUAUUUUGAGUGAGUGACAGACACACCAUGGUCAUUAUUAAACCUUCUAAAAAUAAACCUCUGCCGAAGUG